rnacentral:rRNA from 1 species
AUGGGAACGCGAAGAACCUUACCUAGACUUGACAUCUCCUGAAUUACUCUGUAAUGGAGGAAGCCCUUCGGGCGAGAAGACAGGUGGUGCAUGGUUGUCGUCAGCUCGUGUCGUGAGAUGUUGGGUUAAGUCCCGCAACGAGCGCAACCCUUACUUGUUAGUUGCUACCAUUAAGUUGAGCACUCUAGCGAGACUGCCCGGGUUAACCGGGAGGAAGGUGGGAUGACGUCAAAUCAUCAUGCCCCUUAUGUCUAGGGCUACACACGUGCUACAAUGGUGGGACAAAAGGAUAGCGAAACCGCAAGGUUGAGCCAAACUCAAAACCCCNUACCCAGUUCGGAUUGUAGCUGAAACUCGCCUACAUGAAGCCGGAGUUGCUAGUAAUCGCGAAUCAGAAUGUCGCGGUGAAUACGUUCCCGGGUCUUGUACACACCG